UACGUAGGGGGCAAGCGUUGUCCGGAAUCAUUGGGCGUAAAGAGCGUGUAGGCGGCCAGAUAAGUCCGCUGUGAAAUCUCGAGGCUCAACUUCGAGCUGUCGGUGGAAACUGUCUGGCUAGAGUCCGGAAGAGGAGAAUGGAAUUCCAGGUGUAGCGGUGAAAAUGCGUAGAUAUCAAGAGGAACACCUGAGGUGAAGACGGGUGCUGGGCUGACACUGACGCUGAGGCGCGAAAGCCAGGGGAGCAAACGGG
rnacentral:rRNA from 1 species